CUGAAAUUACUUCAUUGCUUUAAAUUUGUAACACUGAAUUACAAUUUCUGUUUUACCUCCAGCUUUUCUAGGUAUGUUUGAGGUUUCCCAAGACUAGAACAAUCAUUUAAUUAAAAAAUAGCCUGGGCUUUCAGGAGCACUGCUGAGAUGCUGGAUGCAGCUGGCCGCUGCCAGGGAAGCUCUCUGGCUCUCCUCAUUGUUUCAGGUGGUGUGCUGGCCUCUCUGGAGCCAUGGUCCUCACACAGCCAGCAUCACUGUUACUGCUGUUCAUCUCCAGAACCUCAUCUCCACACAGACAAGCUCAGAGGAGGGACUUCCCAGCGCUGGAGCCUGAAGCAGGCACCAUGACAUGAGCCAGCUGAUGCUGAAGCAUUGAGGAGCUGGGGUUUCUCCUUUCUUCCUUUUUGAUGCCUUGCCAAUGAGGCAAUCUCUGUCACCACCUCUUAUUCUGCUGUUCUUUGAUUCUCCAGAUCUGGAAGUACCUCUAAGACUUGGCCAAGCUGGACAGAAAAUGAACAGAAGGAGAGCCAAGGAUUUCUUCAGGGGGGUUGCCAAGGAAGGAUGCUGACAUGCAUGAGGCAAAGGCUGUGGUUUGGAGGUGUUGCUCAGAACCCAGAAACAUGGGGACCAGUAGUACCAGAAAGACUGACAUAACAGGAAAAAUCAGCACUUCACGUAUUUUUCCAAACUCAUGCUUUCUGUGGUAUUUCCACAUCACUACACAGAGCUCUUGCUGACAUUGUCGUUUUGUAAGUAUUGCCGUGUAUGCCAUCAUCUCAGGGCUACUCUGAUGAGCUGUCACCACAUGAUAAAAUAAGUCUGUCGCUGUGUUUGCUGCUUUGCAGUGUUGUAUCUUGCUGUGGUUUGUGUCAUGUAGAGGCAUUAAUUCCAUUGCAUAGUGUAAAUACACCAUCGUCACACGCUCCCUGAGAAGGAGGACCAGGAUACAUGGAAGACAGCCUGUAAAGUCCUGGCUUGGGCAAAAUGUAACUGCACUCCGUUCCAGCUGAGGACUCAUCUACCUCAACAUGUUUUGUGCAAGCUUGUUCUUAUCUGGUUUGAAUCUCUACCUCUGUGCUGCCUUGAAGCCCACACUGAAGCUUUCAGUAUUGCACUCAGAUGGAAAGCAAAGCCCAACUAGGACUGACUCUGUGGACGACUUUUCUCUCAAUCAGGGCAGUCCGUGCAUCUAGGGAACAAAGGAGGUCGUCAUAUGAAAAGACACAGACAGGAAUGCUGCCAAAAAAAAAAGAGAUUUAUAAGAUUGGGGCCUGCAGUGGUUUGUGCUUGCAGGUGAGCUUCAAGUAGAGUAGGGCAGGGUCACAACUUUUGAGAUCAGGAGACCCACUGAGGAACUGUGCAGUGUUGAGGAAGGCCUAUCGUUUUUGUUACACUCAUCCAGACGGGAGAACUGGAGCUGUGCAUCUGUGGAUGCGGCUGUGCACUUACAGGCAUCCCAGUGGCACCAUCACAUCUGCUGCCAUGCUAACCAGGCCACCUGGAAACAGACGGAGGGACCUUCUGCACCAAUGUCAGGGGUGGGAGCCUGAGUACUCUUUGCAGGUGGGUCCCAGCUGUGAAUGGGGACACAACCUUUCCUCACUUGUGAGGACUCAGUGUGCCUCUUCCAGCCUGUGGAAGAGAGAACUGCCUCCUGGCUUUGACAGCUGUCAGGCAGCUCAGGCACCUCCCUGCUCUCCCAGUGCCAGCAUUGUCUGCUACCUGUGUAUUUCAUCCUGGACAGGCCAGGUUUGAUGGACCUGAGAAGAAAUUAACUGUACGCUGGCUGAAACUGGGACACCAGGUUUUUAAUAAACCCUAUUAGCUUAGUCUUUUAUUAUCAGGUUGAUUCUUUUCUGAAAAGUCAAGGCUGGCAUUUUUUGGUACAGAGAUGGUUGGUUCAGCUGCCAGAACCUCGGAGAUGGCUGCAGUGCUAAAGGAGAUCCCAAGCGAUGCUCACCCAGCCUGAUUUUUUGUCCCAUCCGGGUAUCAGGUGGUACAGGAUAAUCCCUCUGCUCCAGAUACCCGUGUGAGUGAAAAAAGGAGCUGAUUUGGGUACUCAAGCAGUUAUUUAAUGUGAAGGGUCUGGACUGCAGAAACAGGGGUAGUUUUUUGUUGAGGGGACUGUGCCAAGCAGUUUGUCAUGACCAUUACACAGACCACCACUGACUCUGCAGUCGUUUUCCCACAUACAGCUCCUAAAAUGGACCUGUCCUUAAGUUAUGAUGAUGCCUUGUUUAGCAGAUUGAUGGGCCACAACUGGCUCCCAAGGUAUGCUGGCAGUUCAGGGACAAGACAGGUGCAGGAGGAGCAACUGCAUGCACCAGGAUAUGGACCAAGGCUUUUCCAAAAUUAAUGUAGUCAUGUGCACAGAAGCACAAGCUAUGAGAAGGAAAGUGGUGUCAGUGUGGGCCUUUGUCACUCUUGUUUGAGUGAGGAUGAUAGUGGAGGAGCAGGCAUGACAUCAGUGUGGGCCCACACCUGCUGCCACAGCUGCCUGGGGCUGCGCCCCAUGCCAGGGGUUGUGGGCUGGAAGAUUUCCCCCGGCUCACAGGUGUUGUCUGUGCCGUUGUGGCUGCCUGUCUACUGUCUGUCAGUAACAGCGUGAUGCUGGCAUGACUGACACACAGAAAACCCCUCCUCCAGCACCAGGCAUCCCACGGAGGGUCUUCACCACAGGGAGCCCUUCCCACAGCCCAGUGCCCCUCUGUGCCUGUCCCCAGCAAGGCCAGUGCAGACAAACAAACCGGGACUGCAGCCAGUGGCAGCUGUAGGACCUCAAGGCCUUUUUGACCUGCCACUAGCAGACAGUAGAGCAAUUUCUAUAAACACAAGACUUCUGUGUACAUAUUUUAACAGCAUUUUUCUUUCAGGACGUUCUGUCAUCUCUGCAACAUGCUUUUAGUUCCACCCUAAAUUUCCUGGGCUUUUCACUCCCUCUUCUCAUCUCCUUGAGCCAAAAAAAAAGGGUCAUUUUGGUGAGAAACAUUUUCAGUGGUUUUCUCAGAAGCAUCUGCUCUCUGCACUCUGUGGGAUUAUGCAGUUCAAGGCUGGUUUGUUCUCCUAGGAAAUUACUUUUUCACCCCCUUCCCAAACUUACCUUCUAGAUCAACAUUCAGAACUUCUUUGGGCUCUGACUUCCAGAAUCUAUUGGUAUCCUGAACUGCCCUCCCAAUAAAAUUAGUUCUGAAUUAUC